rnacentral:rRNA from 1 species
GAGUUUGAUCCUGGCUCAGGAUGAACGCUGGCGGCGUGCCUAACACAUGCAAGUCGAACGAAGCAAUCGGGAUGAAGUUUUCGGAUGGAUUCCUGGUUGACUGAGUGGCGGACGGGUGAGUAACGCGUGGAUAACCUGCCUCACACUGGGGGAUAACAGUUAGAAAUGGCUGCUAAUGCCGCAUAAGCGCACAGUACCGCAUGGUACGGUGUGAAAAACCCAGGUGGUGUGAGAUGGAUCCGCGUCUGAUUAGCCAGUUGGCGGGUAACGGCCCACCAAAGCGACGAUCAGUAGCCGACCUGAGAGGGUGACCGGCACAUUGGGACUGAGACACGGCCCAAA